AAUAUAAAGAGAAAGAUAAAGAAAAAAGGAAAGAAUAAAGAACAAGAAUAAAGAAUAACAGAAAUACAAAGGGAAGGAUAAAGAAAAACAGAAAGAUAAAGAACAACAGAAAAAGAUAGAACAAGGGAGAGCUAAAGCAGCCAAAGCUGAGAAAAAGACAAAACUAAGAAACAGAAAAAGUUAAGAAAAACAGAAAUGAAAAAGGAAGAGUAUAAAAGGCCCAGAGUGGCACAUCUGAACACAAAAGCGGGUGGGCCAGCCUGAAGAAGGCUCAGAGAAGCCGAAACGUCGCGAAGGCCCACCACAGUGCACUACACCCGCUUAGGGGUAAUUUUUUGAUCAGGGGGCACCAAUACCAGUCCCAUGGAUGGACCGUGCACUUAGGUUCCGGCAUAGCCGGGCCUAGUCUUUCCCCACACCCUAACCAGCCUGUGCCUCCUGGGAUUGGUGGUGCCCCUGCCCAUUUCCUCUCUCCCUCAUUGUGGGGAGCCCCCCACCCACUACCUUAUCCUUACCCUAACCCCUUUGCCCCCCUCCCCCCUCCCCCUCUAGCCCUAACUCUAAGGGAACUCUAAGAAAGCCUAAAUAAAAGGAGAAAAAGACAAGAAAGUUCAGAAAGAAAGAACAGAAUACAUAAGGAAGGAUUUACAGGAAGGGGGUGCCAUAAAAGAAAAAUACAGACCACAGGACGGGAUGUCUAAAGAGAAGGGGGUGCCAUUUCAAGAAAUAUGAGAAAGAAUAAAGAAAAGAACACAAGAGAAAUAAAGAGAAAUAAUAAAGAAAAACAGAAAGAAUAAAGAACAACAGAAAGAAUGAAGAACAACAGUAAUAUAAAGAGAAAGAUAAAGAAAAAAGGAAAGAAUAAAGAACAAGAAUAAAGAAUAACAGAAAUACAAAGGGAAGGAUAAAGAAAAACAGAAAGAUAAAGAACAACAGAAAAAGAUAGAACAAGGGAGAGCUAAAGCAGCCAAAGCUGAGAAAAAGACAAAACUAAGAAACAGAAAAAGUUAAGAAAAACAGAAAUGAAAAAGGAAGAGUAUAAAAGGCCCAGAGUGGCACAUCUGAACACAAAAGCGGGUGGGCCAGCCUGAAGAAGGCUCAGAGAAGCCGAAACGUCGCGAAGGCCCACCACAGUGCACUACACCCGCUUAGGGUAAUUUUUUGAUCAGGGGGCACCAAUACCAGUCCCAUGGAUGGACCGUGCACUUAGGUUCCGGCAUAGCCGGGCCUAGUCUUUCCCCACACCCUAACCCUAACCCCCCUAACCCUAACCCGGGCCUAGUCUUUCCCCACACCCUAACCAGCCUGUGCCUCCUGGGAUUGGUGGUGCCCCUGCCCAUUUCCUCUCUCCCUCAUUGUGGGGAGCCCCCCACCCACUACCUUAUCCUAACCCUAACCCCUUUGCCCCCCUCCCCCCUCCCCCUCUAGCCCUAACUCUAAGGGAACUUUAAAAGCCUAAGCUAAGAGAAAAAAAGACAAGAAAGGUCAGAAAAAAGACAAAGUACAAAAGGAAAGGAUUUACAGGAAGGGGGUGCCAUAAAAGAAAAAUAUAGACCACGGACGGGAUGUCUAAAGAGAAGGGGGUGCCAUUUAAAGAAAUAUGAGAAAGAAUAAAAGAAAGAACACAAGAGAAAUUAAGAGGAAUAAUAAAGAACAGAAAGAAUAAAGAACAACAGAAUACAAAGGGAAAGAUAAAGAAAAACAGAAAGAAUAAAGAACAAGAAUAAAGAAUAACAGAAAUACAAAGGGAAGGAUAAAGAAAAACAGAAAGAUAAAGAACAACAGAAAAAGAUAGAAAAAGGGAGAGUAAGCAGCCAAAGCUGAGAACAAGAAAAAACUAAGAAACAGAAAAAGUUAAGAAAAACGAAAAGGAAAAAGAAAAGUAUAAAAGGCCCAGAGUGGCGAAACAGAACACAAAAGCGGGUGGGCCAGCCUGAAGAAGGCUCAGAGAAGCCGAAACGUCGCGAAGGCCCACCACAGUGCACUACACCCGCUUAGGGUAAUUUUUUGAUCAGGGGGCACCAAUACCAGUCCCAUGGAUGGACCGUGCACUUAGGUUCCGGCAUAGCCGGGCCUAGUCUUUCCCCACACCCUAACCCUAAACUCCAAACUCCACCCUCCCUCCCUCUUUCUCUCUCUCUCUCUCUCUCUCUCUCUCUCUCUCUCUCUCACACACUCUUUCUCUUUCUUACCCCUUUCUCCUGCCGCCCCCCCCCCCCCCCCUCUCAUCUCGGGUUCAUCACAAUGGAAGUCUCAUGCCCAGGAUGCCAACACAAUCCUUUUUAGGACACCAUAUUGGAGACAUGGUUCCUUGAGCCGGGAGCAGGGAUGGCCAGUGCAUUGGUGCUCGAUCG
ensembl:lncRNA